rnacentral:rRNA from 1 species
UACGGAGGGGGCUAGCGUUGUUCGGAAUUACUGGGCGUAAAGCGCGCGUAGGCGGAUCUGCAAGUCGGGGGUGAAAUCCCGAGGCUCAACCUCGGAACUGCCUUCGAUACUGCGGGUCUCGAGUCCGGGAGAGGUGAGUGGAAUUCCUAGUGUAGAGGUGAAAUUCGUAGAUAUUAGGAAGAACACCAGUAGCGAAGGCGGCUCACUGGCCCGGUACUGACGCUGAGGCGCGAAAGCGUGGGGAGCAAACAGG